CACGCGAAAAGGGGGAAAAGGUGGCAGGAAUCAACAGGUUUCUCAAACCUAAUCACCCUUUGGCGACACCAUGAAAAGCACAAGAAAAGAUCCAUCAGGAUUGAAAUUCGUUGAAUGCAUCUCUUGCCAAGGGAAUCCAAUUAUUUUUACACCACAAUUUGAAUACAUUAGCUAUCCACAGAUUCAGUGCUUGUCAAAGGGAAUCCCAAAAACAUGACAUCAGUGCUCACCUUCUGAGGUUAGUAAAGAUUCUUGGAAAAAUACCAGUAAAUAUUCUCAACAAUUUGCAGAAUCUCAGAUGUGAAUUGAAAUGAUUAAUUGAUGGCGACUCAUCGUAUUGAUUAAAGAUCACACAGAUCAGAGAAUAGAAUGUCAACAACAUCCAUUCGAUAUGGUCACCAAUGACAACAGUGUCCAAGAGAGGAUUUAUAUCUUCCAAAAUCUGAGACUUUUGAGAAUCUUUCUAUAAUAUAAGAAAUAUGGAGAGAGAGAGAAAAAAACGAGUUGAGAAUCGAGGAAUGAAAUCAGACACCUUGCCUUCUUCCUUCUCAUGUCACACCACAUUAGUUGCGCUUCAACCAAAAUCACAUGUUGAACAUUAUAAUAAAAUACUAUAUUGUCUGCUUGGGUACGACCAAAGCGAAAAGGUGUAUGGAGAAGAGAGAAGGAGGAAAAAAUUCCCUGUGUGCAGGUAAUGAAAAUUUAUUGUUGAAUAACACCACGAGCAAUAAAUAUCGAGAAGAACCUUAUAA